rnacentral:lncRNA from 1 species
GGCCACCAGAACCUACAGUGGCAACCCGGGUUCCGUUCCAUGCUAUGGAAGCCCCGUUGUUUCACUUUUUGCAAUAAAUCUUGCUGCUGUUGAGUCUUUGGGUUUACACUGGCUUUAUGAGCUGUAACACUCAUCGGGAAGGUCUGCAGCUUCACUCCUGAAGCCAGCGAGUCCACGAACCCAUCAGAAGGAAGAAACUCCAGACACAUCUGAACAUCUGAAGGAACAAAGUCCGGACACACCAUCUUUAAGAACUGUAACACUCACCGCAAGGGUCCGUGGCUUCAUUCUUGAAGUCAGCGAGACCAAGAACCCACCGGAAGGAACCAAUCCCGGACACAGUAUGGUCUUUCUAGGAAGCAAUGAAGCCUGCGGCUUAGAGCAGAACUCAGGUGUCAUCAAUAGCUAUUAAUGGAACGAAGACUCAUCUCCCUCAGACUCACACGGGAUAUGCAGCUGUUCACUAUAAAAUGGUCCAGGUUUUCUGCAUCUGCUUCUUAGUAAACUUGUGUGACUGCCCAAUAAAUUUCCACACGCCCAAUAUUCUCCCCUUCUCCCUUUCUCUCCUUUCCCCUCCCUUCCCCUUCCUUUCUUUCUCUUUCAGACCUGGCACCGCUGAUGAAUUAGAGGGACACACAGGCUUUCUAGAAGCUCACUGAGUAGCUUUUCAUACGAUAGACAUUUGUUGAAUGUCCUCUAUAUGCCAAGCCCUGGGGAUGGCCCUCUAUAUGGUGCUAAACAGGUGAUUGGCUGGUGAGGUUUGGGGAAGCACAUUUUAUUCAUGGCUCCCUUAUUUUGUUGUAUUAUUUCUCCUGCAUAACAUGUGCCUCAAUCAAAGCCAUUUAUGAUGUGAAUGUAUGAAAACUAUAAUUUUGAGCAUCCCCCAGUGUGUUCCCUGCCCUCCAAUCAAGCCUCCUACCAGCUCUCCUCCCACCCCAGCCUUGUGGCACUACCCUGUGCUCUCUCCCUGGCUGAAAGCCCCUUCUCUUUGCUGAUUCAAAUCCCAUCCAACAUUCAAAACCACCACCUCCAUAAUGUCUUUCUGAUGGCUCACAUCCUCAUUGAUUUCUUGGAGAUAUAAUUCAGGGUAACAGUUAAAAAACUGGGCUCUAAAUUAAGGAGAGGGGUUAACUCUAAGGAAAGGAGAACGAGAUGUGUUCAGGGCCUUCAUCUAUUGCUAACAUUUUAUCUUAAGCUGGGUGAUGGAUAUACAGGUAUUUUUUUUAAACAUAGUUAAUUAUAUAAUUUUGUAUGGUUGAAUUAUUUUAUAAAAGAAAAAGGUCACGUAUUAAGUGUGCUACCUUGUGCAAGUUCCCUAACUUCUUUAUGCCCCAGUUACCUCAUUUGUAGGAAAUGAUAAUAGUGCCCUCUUUAUAGAAUGUUGUGAGGGUUAAUAAUAUCAGAUAAUGCCUGUCAGGAAUUUACAAAGUGCUUGACAUAUAGUAAGAACUCAAUAAAUGUUUUCCUCUUUUCCCCUUGAACUCCCCAGAGUGCUUUUGCUCAGAAUUAUAUAAUUUAAUAUUUAAUUGAACCUUGUUUGGUUCUGUGAUUUUUGCUCAUUUUUUUUACUGUGCUCCUCUUUUUUCUUGAGGGCAGGCACAGUGUGCUAUCCUUCUUCCUAAGCUCCACAGCACCCUCGCAUGGUGCCCAGGGUAUCUGAAUAUGUUCAUAAAUUCUUAAGGUUGAUUGAUUGGAAUGGUCUUUUCAAGGAUUAACUGUAUAUGAGUCCCAUGGUUUUUCGCUCAUCUGUGUCUGAGUAUCUGAAGAAGAAACCUGUGCGUGUCUGUUACUUUCCUCCUGUGAUAUGACCUAUGAGCAGCUACCU